GUACUCCUGAAGAGUCCCAAACUAGGACUAAACAUCUGUCCAGUAC
rnacentral:hammerhead_ribozyme from 1 species